rnacentral:rRNA from 1 species
UAGGGAAUCUUCGGCAAUGGGGGGAACCCUGACCGAGCAACGCCGCGUGAGUGAAGAAGGUUUUCGGAUCGUAAAGCUCUGUUGUUAAGGAAGAACGAGUGUGAGAAUGGAAAGUUCAUACUGUGACGGUACUUAACCAGAAAGGGACGGCUAACUACGUGCCAGCAGCCGCGGUAAUACGUAGGUGGCAAGCGUUAUCCGGAAUUAUUGGGCGUAAAGCGCGCGUAGGCGGUUUUUUAAGUCUGAUGUGAAAGCCCACGGCUCAACCGUGGAGGGUCAUUGGAAACUGGAAAACUUGAGUGCAGAAGAGGAAAGUGGAAUUCCAUGUGUAGCGGUGAAAUGCGCAGAGAUAUGGAGGAACACCAGUGGCGAAGGCGACUUUCUGGUCUGUAACUGACGCUGAUGUGCGAAAGCGUGGGAAUCAAACAGG